UCCAGUAACCCCAGCGAGAGGCAGUGUCUGCUAGCACCAGACCUGGCUCGUAUCCUGGUUCUGCUCCGCCUCCCUUUGUGGCCCCCGCACAAAGUUGGUGAAUGGCCCUGAGCCUUCAGCAUCAGACUGAGACCUUGCCUGAACAGACUCUGGGAAUACUGAAUGGGUAGUUGGAGAUGUCUUAAUGGCGAGGAAUUCUGGAAGGGCAGCAAAAAUCACACUCUAAUGAAAUUAGCUUUCCAGAACGGGAAACGGCGUUGCUAAGAGCAGGAGGCGUGCAGCAGGCCACCACCCCACAGAGUGUGUAAAAGUGCUCCCGAGAGGCCGAGGAGCCCAGAGCCCCAGCUCCGCGCUCAGGGACAGACGGACA
rnacentral:lncRNA from 1 species